GGGUUGUGAGGUUAAGCGACUAAGCGUACACGGUGGAUGCCCUGGCAGUCAGAGGCGAUGAAGGACGUGCUAAUCUGCGAUAAGCGUCGGUAAGGUGAUAUGAACCGUUAUAACCGGCGAUUUCCGAAUGGGGAAACCCAGUGUGAUUCGUCACACUAUCAUUAACUGAAUCCAUAGGUUAAUGAGGCGAACCGGGGGAACUGAAACAUCUAAGUACCCCGAGGAAAAGAAAUCAACCGAGAUUCCCCCAGUAGCGGCGAGCGAACGGGGAGCAGCCCAGAGCCUGAAUCAGUGUGUGUGUUAGUGGAAGCGUCUGGAAAGGCGCGCGAUACAGGGUGACAGCCCCGUACACAAAAAUGCACAUGCUGUGAGCUCGAUGAGUAGGGCGGGACACGUGGUAUCCUGUCUGAAUAUGGGGGGACCAUCCUCCAAGGCUAAAUACUCCUGACUGACCGAUAGUGAACCAGUACCGUGAGGGAAAGGCGAAAAGAACCCCGGCGAGGGGAGUGAAAAAGAACCUGAAACCGUGUACGUACAAGCAGUGGGAGCACAGAGCAAUCUGUGUGACUGCGUACCUUUUGUAUAAUGGGUCAGCGACUUAUAUUCUGUAGCAAGGUUAACCGAAUAGGGGAGCCGAAGGGAAACCGAGUCUUAACUGGGCGUUAAGUUGCAGGGUAUAGACCCGAAACCCGGUGAUCUAGCCAUGGGCAGGUUGAAGGUUGGGUAACACUAACUGGAGGACCGAACCGACUAAUGUUGAAAAAUUAGCGGAUGACUUGUGGCUGGGGGUGAAAGGCCAAUCAAACCGGGAGAUAGCUGGUUCUCCCCGAAAGCUAUUUAGGUAGCGCCUCGUGAAUUCAUCUCCGGGGGUAGAGCACUGUUUCGGCAAGGGGGUCAUCCCGACUUACCAACCCGAUGCAAACUGCGAAUACCGGAGAAUGUUAUCACGGGAGACACACGGCGGGUGCUAACGUCCGUCGUGAAGAGGGAAACAACCCAGACCGCCAGCUAAGGUCCCAAAGUCAUGGUUAAGUGGGAAACGAUGUGGGAAGGCCCAGACAGCCAGGAUGUUGGCUUAGAAGCAGCCAUCAUUUAAAGAAAGCGUAAUAGCUCACUGGUCGAGUCGGCCUGCGCGGAAGAUGUAACGGGGCUAAACCAUGCACCGAAGCUGCGGCAGCGACGCUUAUGCGUUGUUGGGUAGGGGAGCGUUCUGUAAGCCUGUGAAGGUGUGCUGUGAGGCAUGCUGGAGGUAUCAGAAGUGCGAAUGCUGACAUAAGUAACGAUAAAGCGGGUGAAAAGCCCGCUCGCCGGAAGACCAAGGGUUCCUGUCCAACGUUAAUCGGGGCAGGGUGAGUCGACCCCUAAGGCGAGGCCGAAAGGCGUAGUCGAUGGGAAACAGGUUAAUAUUCCUGUACUUGGUGUUACUGCGAAGGGGGGACGGAGAAGGCUAUGUUGGCCGGGCGACGGUUGUCCCGGUUUAAGCGUGUAGGCUGGUUUUCCAGGCAAAUCCGGAAAAUCAAGGCUGAGGCGUGAUGACGAGGCACUACGGUGCUGAAGCAACAAAUGCCCUGCUUCCAGGAAAAGCCUCUAAGCAUCAGGUAACAUCAAAUCGUACCCCAAACCGACACAGGUGGUCAGGUAGAGAAUACCAAGGCGCUUGAGAGAACUCGGGUGAAGGAACUAGGCAAAAUGGUGCCGUAACUUCGGGAGAAGGCACGCUGAUAUGUAGGUGAAGUCCCUCGCGGAUGGAGCUGAAAUCAGUCGAAGAUACCAGCUGGCUGCAACUGUUUAUUAAAAACACAGCACUGUGCAAACACGAAAGUGGACGUAUACGGUGUGACGCCUGCCCGGUGCCGGAAGGUUAAUUGAUGGGGUCAGCGCAAGCGAAGCUCUUGAUCGAAGCCCCGGUAAACGGCGGCCGUAACUAUAACGGUCCUAAGGUAGCGAAAUUCCUUGUCGGGUAAGUUCCGACCUGCACGAAUGGCGUAAUGAUGGCCAGGCUGUCUCCACCCGAGACUCAGUGAAAUUGAACUCGCUGUGAAGAUGCAGUGUACCCGCGGCAAGACGGAAAGACCCCGUGAACCUUUACUAUAGCUUGACACUGAACAUUGAGCCUUGAUGUGUAGGAUAGGUGGGAGGCUUUGAAGUGUGGACGCCAGUCUGCAUGGAGCCGACCUUGAAAUACCACCCUUUAAUGUUUGAUGUUCUAACGUUGACCCGUAAUCCGGGUUGCGGACAGUGUCUGGUGGGUAGUUUGACUGGGGCGGUCUCCUCCUAAAGAGUAACGGAGGAGCACGAAGGUUGGCUAAUCCUGGUCGGACAUCAGGAGGUUAGUGCAAUGGCAUAAGCCAGCUUGACUGCGAGCGUGACGGCGCGAGCAGGUGCGAAAGCAGGUCAUAGUGAUCCGGUGGUUCUGAAUGGAAGGGCCAUCGCUCAACGGAUAAAAGGUACUCCGGGGAUAACAGGCUGAUACCGCCCAAGAGUUCAUAUCGACGGCGGUGUUUGGCACCUCGAUGUCGGCUCAUCACAUCCUGGGGCUGAAGUAGGUCCCAAGGGUAUGGCUGUUCGCCAUUUAAAGUGGUACGCGAGCUGGGUUUAGAACGUCGUGAGACAGUUCGGUCCCUAUCUGCCGUGGGCGCUGGAGAACUGAGGGGGGCUGCUCCUAGUACGAGAGGACCGGAGUGGACGCAUCACUGGUGUUCGGGUUGUCAUGCCAAUGGCACUGCCCGGUAGCUAAAUGCGGAAGAGAUAAGUGCUGAAAGCAUCUAAGCACGAAACUUGCCCCGAGAUGAGUUCUCCCUGACUCCUUGAGAGUCCUGAAGGAACGUUGAAGACGACGACGUUGAUAGGCCGGGUGUGUAAGCGCAGCGAUGCGUUGAGCUAACCGGUACUAAUGAACCGUGAGGCUUAACCUUACAACGCCGAAGGUGUUU
rnacentral:rRNA from 1 species